GGAAGCUGGGGCAGAAGACGGAAGUUUUCUGGCCGUCACUGGUACCAAGGACGAUUCCGAUUACCUGAACGCCAACUGGUUUGUCCAGUGGAGUGGAGAGUACCGUGCCGGCGGCACUCUGCUCUUCUACUUCCGCGAAGAUCAAAACGAGACCAUCUUCAUCCCUGGCCCCCUGAAGGAACCAAUCGUUCUCAAGGCACUGCUGCAGGACAGCAGCACUCGG